rnacentral:rRNA from 1 species
GACCGUGAAAACCUGGGGCUCAACCCCAGGCCUGCGGUCGAUACGGGCAGGCUAGAGUUCGGUAGGGGAGACUGGAAUUCCUGGUGUAGCGGUGAAAUGCGCAGAUAUCAGGAGGAACACCGGUGGCGAAGGCGGGUCUCUGGGCCGAUACUGACGCUGAGGAGCGAAAGCGUGGGGAGCGAACAGGAUUAGAUACCCUGGUAGUCCACGCUGUAAACGUUGGGCGCUAGGUGUGGGGGGCCUCUCCGGUUCCCUGUGCCGCAGCUAACGCAUUAAGCGCCCCGCCUGGGGAGUACGGCCGCAAGGCUAAAACCCAAAGGAAUUGACGGGGGCCCGCACAAGCGGCGGAGCAUGCGGAUUAAUUCGAUGCAACGCGAAGAACCUUACCAAGGCUUGACAUCCUGCGAAUCUCCAAGAAAUUGGAGAGUGCCUUCGGGAACGCAGUGACAGGUGGUGCAUGGCCGUCGUCAGCUCGUGUCGUGAGAUGUUGGGUUAAGUCCCGCAACGAGCGCAACCCACGUUUUUAGUUGCCAGCAUUCAGUUGGGCACUCUAGAAAGACUGCCGGUGACAAACCGGAGGAAGGUGUGGACGACGUCAAGUCAUCAUGCCCCUUACGCCUUGGGCUACACACGUACUACAAUGCUGCGGACAAAGAGUAGCGAUCUUGCGAAAGUUAGCUAAUCUCGUAAACCGUGGCUCAGUUCAGAUCGUAGGCUGCAACUCGCCUACAUGAAGGAGGAAUCGCUAGUAAUCGCAGGUCAGCAUACUGCGGUGAAUACGUUCCCGGGCCUUGUACACACUGCCCGUCACACCAUGGAAGUUGGCCAUGCCCGAAGUCGUUACUCUAACCUUCUUGGAAGAGGGCGCCGAAGGCAGGGCUAAUGACUGGGGUGAAGUCGUAACAAGGUAGCCGUA